UGCUGUAUAUUUUAACGACUGCAUGCAAAAGUUGUCGCGAAAAGUAUUUUUAAGUUUGAAUUUGAAUAUUGAAUAAUUUGAUUUUGUACGUACGCUAUUUUAUGGCGUGUUCUUAUUUAAAGUAUUUUUUUACAAAUUUUCUACAAAGAUGCACUUGGCCGAAAUUCGUCUGUUAAGGAAGUGGGAUUGGAUUUGAAAGAAUGAAGAAGGCUUCCGACCCCGGUCAGCAACACAACUUUUGCUGCCAGAAAUUAAGUUCAUUGGCAACUUUGACGUCCGUUUCCCAUUCUGCCCCGUGAAAUAUGCAAUACCAGCAUUUCUACAAUAACCCAUUUCUGAAUUGCUGAAUGAUAGGAUUGCCAUUUUGCUGAGCACAUUGGUUAUUGGAAGUAGUAAAGAUUCUCAAUAAUGUACAGAAUAUAUACAGUUUACGUGGUCUGAGCUUCAACUGGCACUAAAAAAUAAGCCCUUAAUUAAUAUUUAUCUAUAUAACCAUGGUGAAAUUAUAAAUAGGUUAAGUAAUAAAACAGCUUUCUGGCUUAAUUUUCUUGACAUUCGACUGUCUUAUAGAAAUA